rnacentral:rRNA from 1 species
AUGAAGUUCAGUUACAGAGAUGGGAUUGUGGCUCCCAAAUGCCAAAUGGGAAAACUGAGACUUCCAAAUCUAAUCCGGUUCUGGCUCCGGCUCAUUUUCACCAAAGAUGACCCAUGUGAUGCAGGAAUGAGCCGCUACCAUAACAGCCUUGAUCAUGCCGAGAACCUGCUCGGCAGUGCAGCAGGAGUCGUCGAAAACACGCCUAUUCCGCUCUUUCCAGAUGUGCCAACAACCAUAGAUUGCCACUUAAGUGUGGUAUUUGGGGAGCAGGGAGGUGACAUCAUUCCACCAAGAUGCCGGGGAGCAUCUGGAGUCAUUCUGCAGGAGGGGCGCCGCAGACAGAGCCAGCCAGUCCGUGAUCAGGAGCCAUACCUGUCGGGCAAAGGUGCAUUGCAGGAUCAGGUGACCUAG